rnacentral:tRNA from 1 species
UUAUAUAGUUUAAAUAAAACAUUACAUUUUCAUUGUAAUAAUAAAAUAAAUAUAAUUUUUAUAAAUA